UGGCUCCUGUUCAUCUGACCUCCGGUUCUUGGGACUUGAGCUAGCAGCUUACCUCCAGUCUGACCUUCCAAUCUCGGGUUCGCCAGACCCUGCUGCUACAUGAUUCAGGAGAGGCCUCCAACCUGACCCACGGAUUUGGGACGUUCCAGCCUCUACAACUAUAAGACAUCUCAACUCAAGUCAUGAAGUCGUGCGUGGAGCCUCAAUCUACGCAUCAGAAAAAAGCAGAUAUAAAAGAAAGAAGCGAGC